CCAAAGACUUAUCCAUGGGAGUCAGACUGCGAGUGAUAAGAUCCGUAGUCGAAAGGGAAACAGCCCAGACCACCAGCUAAGGUCCCCAAGUAUCCGUUAAGUGGAAAAGGAUGUGGGGUUGCUUAGACAACCAGGAUGUUGGCUUAGAAGCAGCCACCAUUUAAAGAGUGCGUAAUAGCUCACUGGUCGAGUGACCCUGCGCCGAAAAUGUACCGGGGCUAAACGGAUCACCGAAGCUGUGGACUGUCCUUCGGACAGUGGUAGGAGAGCGUUCUAAGGGCUGAGAAGCCAGACCGGAAGGACUGGUGGAGCGCUUAGAAGUGAGAAUGCCGGUAUGAGUAGCGAAAGAGGGGUGAGAAUCCCCUCCACCGUAUGCCUAAGGUUUCCUGAGGAAGGCUCGUCCGCUCAGGGUUAGUCGGGACCUAAGCCGAGGCCGAAAGGCGUAGGCGAUGGACAACAGGUUGAGAUUCCUGUACCACCUCUUUUCCGUUUGAGCAAUGGAGGGACGCAGGAGGAUAGGGUAAGCGCGCUGUUGGAUAUGCGCGUCCAAGCAGGUAGGCUGGCAAGCAGGCAAAUCCGCUUGUCAUAAGGCUGAGCUGUGAUGGCGAGGGAAAUUAAGUACCGAAGUUCCUGAUUCCACACUGCCUAGAAAAGCUUCUAGCGAGGAAAAUGGUGCCCGUACCGCAAACCGACACAGGUAGGCGAGGAGAGAAUCCUAAGGUGAUCGAGAGAACUCUCGUUAAGGAACUCGGCAAAAUGACCCCGUAACUUCGGGAGAAGGGGUGCUCUGGUAGGGUGCAAGCCCGAGAGAGCCGCAGUGAAUAGGCCCAGGCGACUGUUUAGCAAAAACACAGGUCUCUGCGAAGCCGCAAGGCGAAGUAUAGGGGCUGACGCCUGCCCGGUGCUGGAAGGUUAAGAGGAGAGGUUAGCGCAAGCGAAGCUUUGAAUUGAAGCCCCAGUAAACGGCGGCCGUAACUAUAACGGUCCUAAGGUAGCGAAAUUCCUUGUCGGGUAAGUUCCGACCCGCACGAAAGGCGUAACGAUCUGGGCACUGUCUCAACGAGAGACUCGGUGAAAUUAUAGUACCUGUGAAGAUGCAGGUUACCCGCGACAGGACGGAAAGACCCCGUGGAGCUUUACUGCAGCCUGAUAUUGAAUUUUGGCACAGCUUGUACAGGAUAGGUAGGAGCCUUGGAAACCGGAGCGCCAGCUUCGGUGGAGGCAUCGGUGGGAUACUACCCUGGCUGUGUUGAACUUCUAACCCGCGGCCCUGAUCGGGCCGGGAGACAGUGUCAGGCGGGCAGUUUGACUGGGGCGGUCGCCUCCUAAAAUGUAACGGAGGCGCCCAAAGGUUCCCUCAGAAUGGUUGGAAAUCAUUCGCAGAGUGUAAAGGCACAAGGGAGCUUGACUGCGAGACCUACAAGUCGAGCAGGGACGAAAGUCGGGCUUAGUGAUCCGGUGGUUCCGCAUGGAAGGGCCAUCGCUCAACGGAUAAAAGCUACCCCGGGGAUAACAGGCUUAUCUCCCCCAAGAGUCCACAUCGACGGGGAGGUUUGGCACCUCGAUGUCGGCUCAUCGCAUCCUGGGGCUGUAGUCGGUCCCAAGGGUUGGGCUGUUCGCCCAUUAAAGCGGUACGCGAGCUGGGUUCAGAACGUCGUGAGACAGUUCGGUCCCUAUCCGUCGCGGGCGCAGGAAAUUUGAGAGGAGCUGUCCUUAGUACGAGAGGACCGGGAUGGACGCACCGCUGGUGUACCAGUUGUCUUGCCAAAGGCAUCGCUGGGUAGCUAUGUGCGGACGGGAUAAGUGCUGAAAGCAUCUAAGCAUGAAGCCCCCCUCAAGAUGAGAUUUCCCAUUCUUUGAAGUAAGACCCCUGAAAGAUGAUCAGGUUGAUAGGUUCGAGGUGGAAGCGUGGCGACACGUGCAGCUGACGAAUACUAAUCGGUCGAGGACUUAACCUAA
rnacentral:rRNA from 1 species